GACGAACGCUGGCGGCGUGCUUAACACAUGCAAGUCGAACGAUUAAAGCCCCUUCGGGGGUGUAUAGAGUGGCGAACGGGUGAGUAACACGUGGGCAAUCUGCCCCUCACUUCGGGAUAACUCAGGGAAACCUGAGCUAAUCCCGUAUACUCCGGUCUGACCGCAUGGUCGGACCGGGAAAGUGCCGGCGGUGAGGGAUGAGCCCGCGGCCCAUUAGCUUGUUGGUGAGGUAACGGCUCACCAAGGCGACGAUGGGUAGCCGAGCUGAGAGGCUGAUCGGCCACACUGGGACUGAGACACGGCCCAGACUCCUACGGGAGGCAGCAGUGGGGAAUCUUGCGCAAUGGGCGAAAGCCUGACGCAGCAACGCCGCGUGCGGGAUGAAGGCCUUCGGGUUGUAAACCGCUUUCAGCAGGGAUGAAACUGACAGUACCUGCAGAAGAAGCCCCGGCUAACUACGUGCCAGCCGCCGCAGUAACAC
rnacentral:rRNA from 1 species